GAAAACUCUUAAGAAAAUUGAAAAAUUACAUUCUUAAAGUACCUCCCCACACCGAUUUCCUUUCAGAAAAAGUUCCACAUUUAGAAAUCCGAUCAAGUCUUCUGGUUGAAAAGUUGUUAACAGAUAAGAACAAAAUAAACACCUUUGUAAAACCAUAAGCUUCUUCGCUCCACUCAGAAUCUAAAACAUUAUUCAUCCUACCUUCCCAACUUCCCUACUCAUUCUAUUAAAUAAUUAUUUAUUUAUUAUAUUUUAAUUAUUAAGUGCUUAGUGUUUUAUACAGUUCUG